rnacentral:lncRNA from 1 species
AGCGCCUCCUGGCUGUACAACAGUCUACGAGUGUGAGUCUUGUCCCUGUGUGAUGGGCAGGAGGUCCCAGCCUGCCCAAACAAAACCCCUACCAGCUGGGCUCUGGGGCUGCACAUAAGGCUCCACAGCUGCAGGCUCUUGGGGCUGAUGGGCAGUGAGCCACAGCCAGCCUCCCGAUUCGAAGAAACACACAAAAACCCAAGGAGCCUCCCGGCCAGGGCCAGGCCUCCUCCCUGCGGCGCUGCCCCUGCGCACUCACAACUGAGCGCCCGUUGCGCCAGCACAGCAGCCACUGCCACAUGAUGCAGAGUGUGUGUGACACACCCAUGUGCAUUCAUGGCUGGAAAGUUAUUUUAAACUCUUCUUCCUAAUUAUCAAGAGAGAUGUUAGUAUGACUUUAGUGAGCGACUUGGAAAUAUCUAUCCCUUUAGUAACCACAUGCUAUCCCAGAGUCCAGCUGUAACUUAAUAUCCCCUUGGGAUGGGGCUUUUCAAUUGUUUCCAA